AGUGGGGAAUAUUGCACAAUGGAGGAAACUCUGAUGCAGCAACGCCGCGUGGAGGAUGACGCAUUUCGGUGUGUAAACUCCUUUUAUAUCCCAAGAUAAUGACGGUAGGAUAUGAAUAAGCACCGGCUAACUCCGUGCCAGCAGCCGCGGUAAUACGGAGGGUGCAAGCGUUACUCGGAAUCACUGGGCGUAAAGGAUGCGUAGGCGGAUAAUCAAGUCAAAAGUGAAAUCCCACGGCUUAACCGUGGAACUGCUUUCGAAACUGGUUAUCUAGAAUAUGGAAGAGGCAGAUGGAAUUAGUGGUGUAGGGGUAAAAUCCGUAGAGAUCACUAGGAAUACCGAUUGCGAAGGCGAUCUGCUGGGACAUUAUUGACGCUGAGGCAUGAAAGCGUGGGGAGCAAACAGGAUUAGAUACCCUGGUAGUCCACGCCCUAAACGAUGCACACUAGUUGUUGCGAUGCUCGUCAUUGCAGUAAUACAGUUAACACAUUAAGUGUGCCGCCUGGGGAGUACGGUCGCAAGAUUAAAACUCAAAGGAAUAGACGGGGACCCGCACAAGCGGUGGAGCAUGUGGUUUAAUUCGAAGAUACGCGAAGAACCUUACCUAGACUUGAAAUCCUUGGAAUCUUUCAGAGAUGAGAGAGUGCUAGUUUACUAGAACCAAGUGACAGGUGCUGCACGGCUGUCGUCAGCUCGUGUCGUGAGAUGUUGGGUUAAGUCCCGCAACGAGCGCAACCCUCGUGAUUAGUUGCUAACAGUUCGGCUGAGCACUCUAAUCAGACUGCCUUCGUAAGGAGGAGGAAGGUGAGGACGACGUCAAGUCAUCAUGGCCCUUAUGUCUAGGGCUACACACGUGCUACAAUGGUUGGGACAAAGAGCAGCGAUACCGUGAGGUGGAGCAAAUCUUAAAACCCAAUCUCAGUUCGGAUUGGAGUCUGCAACUCGACUCCAUGAAGCUGGAAUCGCUAGUAAUCGUAGAUCAGCAAUGCUACGGUGAAUACGUUCCCGGGUCUUGUACUCACCGCCCGUCACACCAUGGGAGUUGAUUUCACUCGAAGCCGGAAUACUAAAUUAGUUACCGUCCACAGUGGAAUUAGCGACUGGGGUG
rnacentral:rRNA from 1 species